GUGAGUCAUCGAAUCUUUGAACGCACCUUGCGCUCCUUGGUAUUCCGAGGGGCACACCGUUUGAGUGUCGUGAAAUCUCAACCUUCUCGGUUUCUUCUGGAAACCAAAGGAGGCUUGGACUUUGGAGGCCUUUGCUGGCGUCUCUCUCUUUUGAGAGCCCAGCUCCUCUUAAAUGAAUUAGCGGGGUCCUCUUUGCUGGUCCUCGACAUGUGAUAAGAUGUUUCCAUGUCUUGGUUUCUGGCUCUGUUGCUUUUGGGACCCGCUUCUAACCGUCUCGAUGAGACAACGUUUGAGCACGUCUCCCGACGCUCUCAACCUCACGAACCCUUGACCUCAAAUCGGGUGAGACUACCCGCUGAACUUAAGCAUAUCAAUAAGCGGAGG
rnacentral:rRNA from 1 species